CAUCAUGCCCCUUAUGACCUGGGCUACACACGUGCUACAAUGGUUGGUACAACGAGUUGCGAGUCGGUGACGGCGAGCUAAUCUCUUAAAGACCAAUCUCAGUUCGGAUUGUAGGCUGCAACUCGCCUACAUGAAGUCGGAAUCGCUAGUAAUCGCGGAUCAGCACGCCGCGGUGAAUACGUUCCCGGGCCGUU
rnacentral:rRNA from 1 species